rnacentral:rRNA from 2 species
UGGGGAAUAUUGCACAAUGGGCGAAAGCCUGAUGCAGCAACGCCGCGUGAGUGAAGAAGGUUUUCGGAUUGUAAAGCUCUGUCAUCUGGGACGAUAAUGACGGUACCAGAUGAGGAAGCCACGGCUAACUACGUGCCAGCAGCCGCGGUAAUACGUAGGUGGCGAGCGUUGUCCGGAAUUACUGGGCGUAAAGGGUGCGCAGGCGGACAUUUAAGUGAGAUGUGAAAUACCCGGGCUUAACCCGGGCAGUGCAUUUCAAACUGGGUGUCUGGAGUGCAGGAGAGGAGAACGGAAUUCCUAGUGUAGCGGUGAAAUGCGUAGAGAUUAGGAAGAACACCAGUGGCGAAGGCGGUUCUCUGGACUGUAACUGACGCUGAGGCACGAAAGCGUGGGUAGCAAACAGG